UACGUAGGGUGCAAGCGUUGUCCGGAAUCAUUGGGCGUAAAGCGCGCGUAGGUGGCUUCGUAAGUCCGUUGUGAAAGUCAAAGGCUCAACCUUUGAAAGCCGAUGGAUACUGCGGAGCUAGAGUACGGAAGAGGCGAGUGGAAUUCCUGGUGUAGCGGUGGAAUGCGCAGAUAUCGGGAGGAACACCAGCGGCGAAGGCGGCACUCUGGGCUGGUACUGACGCUCAGGAGCGAAAGCGUGGGUAGCGAACAGG
rnacentral:rRNA from 1 species